rnacentral:misc_RNA from 1 species
GACUUGGCUUCCUCAGAGCUCCCAAAUGGGCAUCUGAGCGAAUUUACCCUUUAAACAGCGGGCUAGCCCAUAAUGGUAAUAUCAUAUUCCCAAAUCGGAUUGGAAUCUUUACGCAACCAAACGAGCCCUUAAAUAGUCUAGCGUCUGCUUCUGGUUCGUCUUUCUAAAUACUACGAAAUUGACUUUACUUGGAUUAGCUUCCACCUCCAUCAAGCGCCAAAAGAAUAUCUCUAUCCAUCGCCGACGCCAAUAAUGACUCGCGGAAACCAGAGGGAGCGCGAUCGUGAACGAGCUCAGGCUCGUACCUCCGGAAAGGGUGCCAAGACCAAGGACGACGGCUUGACCCCCGAACAGCGUCGCGAAAGGCACGAAUUCUCUCGAUUUUCCCUAACCUUUUCUUUUGUGUUUAGUUAUAAUUUUGGAGAAUCUGUUUUACUUCGAUUUUCAUUGUUCGGUAUUUUUGGUGCAUUGGUCAACCUGGUGUGAGAUAUUGUUUACCUGCGUAGGGAUGCGAAAGCACUGCAAGAGAAGGCGGCGAAGAAGGCUGGCCAGGCUGCAGCGGGAGGGGAAUCUUCGGGAGGUAAAGGGAAAGAUAAUAAGAAAUAAAGAGAAGUUUGUUAUGUCCAUUGGGUUUUUUCCUUCUUUUUAAUUUUUUGAAUUGUAAUUGUGGUGUUAAAGUCAGGAUUUAUUUAUCUGUGGGAAUUAAUUUGAAGUGGAUUUGAGAUUUAGCAGGUUGUGAUGUUUGAAACCUUGAUAAUGCUGGAUAACGGUUGAUGUGUAUUUAAGAAUCCCUAUUUCUUAUUGUUUUAACUGGUUCUUGAGUUGGUGUUAAUUGAUUUUAUUAGAUGUGUUGUGAAAUGUUUUUUUUUUAGUUCUGACAACUUGAUUCACUGUUACGGUGAUUGGAUCUUUGAUUAUUAUGGGAAUCCAUCGUUGGAAACUUUUCAA